UAUGGUAACAACACGGCCCUUCCGGCGGCCCUCUGACAGCUAACUGACAGGUGACGUUUACGCCAAAAUAGCGGCUGAAUAACAGUUAUUUAAUGUGAUAAACUUUAAAAAGACAUUGACUUGAGGAGGAAGAAACACCACUGCUAUCACUGACCGAGUCUACCCAGCUCGGUUCUUCGGACUCAUGAGGCUACAGUGAGGUUAGCCCCGCUAGCUAGCUGUUAGCUCCCGGGCGAUGCUAGCCCCUUCUCCCGGUCAACACGACGCGGAUUCACCUGCUGAUUCGCCCUCCGCUGAGGACCCUCCUUCACCGCAAUAUUUGAAGGUGCUUUCCAGCAUAUCGAAAGAGUGAAAAAUCAAGCCGCUUCAUAUUAAAGUGGUAUGGACAGUUUUGUUGUUGGGAAUACAGCAGGACGCGGUUGGACUAAAAUCACGGAGCUAGCUUAAGCCGGGCGAGCAUUCACUUUAACUGGAAAAGUGUCAGGACCAGGGAUAUGGACCAUUUAAAAGUGUUUUUGGAGAUAUUAUGUCUUUGUUAUUUCCCUUCUUGGACUUGAUAAGGACGCGUGUAUUGGCGGAAAGGAGACAGGACUUCAACUUCAGUCAAGAUGUGUGACGUAUCAUCUCACCUCAGUGACCACAGCUACUGGAGGACGGUGCCCAGCAGGAGACGGGACGCCACCAACCAGUUUCUCCGGCUGUAUGUCCUGCAGGCAGCUGACCCACUGACUGUUUGUCCUCCUGCUGGUCUGGAUGCGCUGCCUGGAUGAAGAUGUAUCGUCGUGGCGAUCGUGCGUUUGGUCCCACCUCGGUCCGCGCGUUACACUAAGCCAUCAGCUUCGGAGGGCACAAAGCGUAAGAGGGAGAGCAGCUCUGCCGACCGCGAGGAGCCCCCGGAGAAGAAACUCCGUGUGUCUGCGCCCGUGCUGCCGGAGCGGAGCCCCAGCCCUCAGCCCUCCACCUCUUCACAGAGCAGCCUGGAGGUGAGUGGUCCUACUGGCUCCCACACAUCUAUCCCACACUGCAUCAGUGUAAAGGGUGUAGCUGAACCCCCACCUCCCUCUCUCUGUCUGUCUGUGUGUCUGAAGGAGGUCCAGCAGCCUGAGGACGACGUUGAGUACGAUGAUGUCAUGGCCUUGCCCCUCUUCCCCGCCCCCUACGAGUCCCAGCCCGGUCUCUCCCCUUUUGAGGUGCUGUCGCAGAUCGUCAUGGACUGGCUGACUGACUCUCCGUACAACCCGGAGCUGUGACAGUACCACACACACACACACACACACACACACACACACACACACAAAACAAAAUUACAAACUACAGACAAACAAAAUUUCAACUCCCUUUAAGUUUAAACUCUGUAAUUUCUCUUUAGUCCAUAGAUAUGUUUUUCUUUUCUUUUUAGUUCGUAAGUUUCCACUUAAAUGUUAACUAUUUAAUUCAUUUUUAGUUUGUUGAUAAGUUUAAUUUCAACUUUCACCUUUCAUAUCCUUCCUAAAAAAAAAAAAAAUUUAACUCCUUUUUAGUCAAUAGAUAAGUUUUAACUUUUUUAUUUCUAUAGUCGAAGUUUUAAGUAUUUCAUUAAUUUUUAGUUGGUCUGUAAGUUUAAACUCAACUUUCACCUUUCAUGUCCUUCCUAAAAAAAAAAAAAAAAAAAACUUUAACUCCUUUUUAGCUCCAAGGUAAGUUUUAACUCUUUAAUUUAUAUUUAGUCUUUGGAUAGGUUUUCACUCUGUCAUUUCUUUGUAGUUCAUAGAAAAGUUUUAAGUAUUUCAUAUAUUUUUAGUUUGUCAAUAAGUUUUCCUUCCUCAAAAAAAAAAAAAAAAAAAAAAAUCUUUAACUCCUUUUAUGUCCAUUGAUAAGUUUUAACUCUUUCAUUUCUAUUUAGUCUUUGGAAGUCGGAAUAUUUUUAGCUUGUCGAAAUGUUUCCUUCCUUCCUCAUCUUUAACUGCUUUUUAGUCCAUAGAUAAGUUUUAAUUUUUUAAUUUCUAUAGUUGAAGUUUUAACUAUUUCAUUAAUUUGUAGUUGGUCUGUCAGUUUAAGCUCAACUUUCACCUUUCAUGUCCUUCCUAAAAAAACAAAAAAAAAACAAAAACAAACUUUAACUCCUUUUUAGCUCUAAGGUAAGUUUUAACUCUUUAAUUUAUAUUUAGUCAUUUCUUCGUAGUUCAUAGAAAAGUUUUAAGUAUUUCGUAUCUUUUUAGUUUGUCGAUAAGUUUUCCUUCCUCAAAAAAAAAAAAAAUCUUUAACUCCUUUUAUGUCCAUUGAUAAGUUUUAACAUUUUAAUUUCUAUAUAGUUUUAGUUUUAAGUAUUUCAUGUAUUUUUAGUUUGUUGGUAAGUUUUUUCAUUCUCUAUUCCUUUCUAGAGAAAGUUUUCUUUUCUCCUGAACUCUUGAGGCUGAAACUAGUGAAACACAUUUUCAAUUAACUGUUUUGUUUCCUAGAAAUUUUUCAAGGGUAAAAAAAAUAUAUAUAAUAACAAUAGCAAAAAAGAACAACAGAAACACAUAGUGUAGAUGUAUUCAAAUUUUUUUUUUUUUUAACUUUGUAGAAGGAAAGAGCUUUAAGAGGGUCUGAUGGUGAUGUUCCAUUCAAAUCCUUUUUUCUUUUUUUCUUUUUACAGUUUGUAGAAGACAUGAAAACUAUUCUCUCAUUCUGUUUCUAAUUAAUACCAUAAUUAUUUGGCUUUCUCUAAAUAUAUGCGGUUAAGAACAGAUGAAACAAUUGAAACUAGUGUCUUGUUAUAUCAUGACGUUGCAGUAUGACCAAUAGAAACAUGUAUUUGGAUGGAACAUUACCAAAGGGUUAGGGUUAGGGAGGGUCGGACCCUCUUAAAGAGCUUUCCUUUUAUUAGAAACACUUCAACACAGACACACUCAUUAUAACACCACACAAAAAGAUAAGAUGGUACGUUUUAUUCAUUCACAAGCAGAAGUAAUAUUUGCUUCAGUGUUAUAUAUACAGUCUAUGGUAAAUACAUUUGAGGUCUUUCAUUUCUAUUUAGGUGUUAGUCAAAAGUUAAUAAAUAACUUUCACCUUUUAAGUCCUUCCUCAAAGACAAGCAAAUAAACAAACAAAAAACAAUCUUUAACUCCUUUUUCAGCUCUAAAAUAAGUUUUAACUCUGUGAUUUCUUUGUAGUUCAUAGAUAAUUUUUUAGUAUGUCAUUGCUUUUUAGUUUGGGGACAAGUUUUCCUUCCUCAAAAAACAAACAAAUAAACAAACCUUUAACUUGAUUUUAAUCCAUUGAUAAGUUUUAUUUUUUUAAAUUUCCAUAUAGUCCAAUUUUUGAUUAUUUCAUUUAUUUUUUGUUUGUUGAUAAGUUUCUCAUGCUAUAUUCCUUUCUUAGCAUGUAGAAAAGUAAUGUAAGUAUUUUAUCUAAUGCCUUCUACACUUUCUGUGAAAAACGUCUCUGUGACAGGCUCAAAGGGUUUUAGGGUGGACUGACAGAACUCUUCAACCUGGUUCAUGAAGCUUUUUCUUUUGUUUCACCAAGUUGAUUCUGUGCUGUCAGUAUAUUAACUCAGUGAGUUUAAACAUGUAUUAGGAGGUUUGUUUCAUGAUAGCAUGUUGCACUGACUUCAGCCACUAGAGGUCAGGAGUGCACAGCUUCAAAUGUUACAUAUUUUAAAUGUUAAUUUAAGGAGAAAGUUUUCUUUUCUCCUGAACUCUUGAGGCUGAAACUAGUGAAACACAUUUUCAAUGAACUGUUUUGUUUCCUAGAAAUCUUUCAAGGGUAAAAAAUAUAAUAACAAUAGCAAAAAAGAACAACAGAAACACAAAGUGUAGAUGUUUUUAAUUUUUUUUUUAACUUUGUAGAAGGAAAGAGCUUUAAGAGGGUCUGAUGGUGAUGUUCCAUUAAAAUCCUUUUUCCCCCACAGUUUUCUAGAAGACAUGAAAACUAUUCUCUCAUUCUGUUUCUAAUUAAUACCAUAAUUAUUUGGUUUUGUCUAAAUAUAUCAGGUAAAGAACAGAUGAAACAAUUGAAACUAGUGUCUUGUUAUUUCAUGACGUUGCAGUAUGACCAAUAGAAACAUGUAUUUGGAUGGAACAUUACCAAAGGGUUAGGGUUAGGGAGGGUCGGACCCUCUUAAAGAGCUUUCCUUUUAUUAGAAACACUUCAACACAGACACACUCAUUAUAACACGACACAAAAAGAUAAGAUGGUACGUUUUAUUCAUUCACAAGCAGAAGUAAUAUUUGCUUCAGUGUUAAUAAUACUGUGGUUGACUGACUCUUCAUACAGCCAGGAGCUGUGACAGUACCACACACACACACACACACACACACACUACAAAUACUUCUUUAAUGCCUUUUUCAUUUAAAGAUAAACUUUAACUCUUUAAUUUCUAUUUCGUCCAUAGAUAAGUCGUAAGUAUUUCUUUUUUUUUAGUUCCUUGAUAAGUGUGAAUUUUUUAAUUUCUAUUGAGUUCGUAGACAUUUUUCAUGUCUUUCCUUUCAACUUUCAACUUUCAUGUCCUCCCUCAAAACACCCUUUAACUCCUUUUAGUCUGUAAAGACAAUUGAGGUCUUUCAUUUCUAUUUCGUUUUUGGUUUAGUUUGAACUCUUUUAUUUCUUUUUAGUUAGUCAAAAGUUAAUAAUCAACUUUCACCUUUUAAGUCCUUCCCGAAAGACAAAUAAAUGAACAAAAAACAACCUUUAACUCCUUUUUAGCUCUAAGAUAAGUUUUAACUCUGUGAUUUCUUUGUAGUUCUUGUAGAUAAUUUUUUAUUAUGUCAUUGCUUUUUAGUUUGUCGACAAGUUUUCCUUCCUCAAAAAACAAACAAACAAACAAACCUUUAACUUGAUUUUAAUCUAUUGAUAAGUUAAUACUGUGGUUGUUUGUUAUUCACCAGCAGUACUAAAAUACAUCUAUCCCACACUGCAUCAGUGUAAAGGGUGUAGCUGAACCCCCACCUCCCUCUCUCUCUCUGUCUGUCUGUGUGUCUGAAGGAGGUCCAGCAGCCUGAGGACCACGUUGAGUACGAUGACGUCAUGGCCUUGCCCCUCCUCCCCGCCCCCGACGAGUCCCAGCCCGGUCUCUCCUCUUUUGAGGUGCUGUCGCAGAUCGUCAUGGACUGGCUGACUGACUCUCCGUACAACCCGGAGCUGUGACAGUACCACACA